GGCUCUUGGCGGUGGAUCACUCGGCUCGUGAGUCGAUGAAGGACGCAGCUAGCUGCGUGAUUUAGUGUGAAUUGCAGGACACAUUGAGCAUCGACGAUCUGAACGCGAAUUGCCCGCGCCCUCGGCGGACAAACCGACAGAUCUUGAGGCU
rnacentral:rRNA from 1 species